CAGUGGAGUUAAAGCGUACACCUGUGAUCAGUGUGGCAGAGCUUUUACUCACAGUAACAGCUUACAGAGUCAUCUAGUUACCCACUCUGGAAUUAAGGCGUACAGCUGUGAUCAGUGUGGUAAACAGUUUACCACAAACACAGAGUUACGACGUCACAUGUUUACCCACACUGAGGAACGACCUUAUAAAUGUGACCUGUGUGAGAAGACUUUUAAAUCUCCACGUUACCUGAAAGCACACCAACAGAUCCACACCAGAAAGACUCUACAAGUGCAGUUACUGUGAGAAGCAGAGCGACACAGAUGGAUCAAGUUCUCAACCCUGUCAUCGCUGUGGGAAAGACUUUUGUUGUGACCUUUGUGGAAAAACUUUAAGUCAUUGAAGGACUCUGAAAAUACAUCAACGUAGACACACUGGAGACAAAAUGAACUACUGUAAAGAAUGCGGGAGAGGCUUCACCACUUCAAAGGACUUCAAACAAUAUGAACUCCUUCACAGUGGCGUUAAAAAGCAUGUCUGUGAUCAGUGUGGGUCAUCCUUCAUCAGUGCACGUCAGCUUGAAAAGCAUAAACGAGUCCACACAUGAGAGAAACCAUACAAGUGCAGACACUGUGACAAAACCUUUUCACAAUCAUGUGAUCAUACUAAGCAUGAACGCAGACACAUGAAAGAGAACUUCAUCUGUGAAAGAGUUUGAGUAAUCUCAGUUCAUACUCCACUCAGAAACGAUACCAUGUUACAAAUAAACUGUUACGUCUUGAUUCCUGCUUUUACGUUAAUCUUGUAAACAGUACAUUUGCAUAACGACUGAAACCGGCCCAAUGAAUGAACAAUGGGCUGUGAGGUCAAUUUCUUCAUCAUUAAUAUGCAAAUUCUUAUGAGCAUUGAUCAACAACCA